rnacentral:rRNA from 1 species
CCUACGGGUGGCAGCAGUGGGGAAUAUUGGGCAAUGGGCGCAAGCCUUACCCAGCAAUACCGCGUGAGUGAAGAAGGUCUUCGGAUUGUAAAGCUCUUUGAUCAGGGACGAACAGAUGACGGUACCUGAAGAACAAGCCCCGGCUAACUACGUGCCAGCAGCCGCGGUAAAACGUAGGGGGCGAGCGUUGUCCGGAUUUACUGGGUGUAAAGGGGGCGCAGACGGCGAUGCAAGCCAGGAGUGAAAGCCCGGGGCCCAACCCCGGGACUGCUCUUGGAACUGCGUGGCUGGAGUGCAGGAGGGGCAGGCGGAAUGCCUGGUGUAGCGGUGAAAUGCGUAGAUAUCAGGAGGAACACCGGUGGCGAAGGCGGCCUGCUGGACUGCAACUGACGUUGAGGCCCGAAAGCGUGGGGAGCAAACAGGAUUAGAUACCCGGGUAGUC